CUGUUUGAGCCAUUUCCGGGCGCGGGACGCGCAGGUCUUCAAACCGUUCCUCGGACUGGGCAGGGCUGAUUCAGGGGACCCAGUUCCUGCUGACCGAGGAUCUCCUGUGCCUUGCCAGAAAAUGUGUCCCCCCUUACCUUUGACAGGGGAGGCUGAGUGCUCUGUAAGACUGAUGCCCCGGGGGAGCAACGUGUCAUCUUUUGUUGCCGCCCCCUGCUGUCCCUGUCCUUUCAACCCGACUGAGAAUUCCUUGUCACGUCCUGUUCUGGGCCGUUGUCGGGUGCUCCUUACCCGCCAGCUGUGGCCCAGCUGCUACGUUCUCCAUUGGGGGGGGGGGUGUCACGCACCUGGUGUGUGAGCUGAUCUCCCCCUUACCCCUGGCGCUAGAAAUCCAGCAUGUCAAACUCAGGAGAAUUUAUUUACUCUCCUGGUGUUUUGCCUUCCUUGGAAUGUAAACGUCCCACAACCACACUGAAGGCAGGAUGAACAGUUGAAAGCUGACAAAACGCAACACGUCACCUGAGCCCUGGGUUAUUUAGGUCUCGAAGUAAAGAAGAAGAAGAAGACGACAGAGAAGAAGGAAAAAAUCAUGAAUGCAAAAUUAAGUCAAAAAGUAAAUAUUUAUUUAGGAAAAGAAAACGUUCCCCCCAAACGGCAAAUACUACAAGCAUCACAAAAUCUGGAGUUAUAAUAUAAUAUAAUAUGAUAUUAAUCAGCUGCCUAACCCAACUCUCUAAUGCCUUCUCUCUUCACUUUUGGCUACACACGCUUUUAUCACUUAUUCAUGUGACAGUAAUUUUGCUGUAUUACUUUAAUAAAGGUAUUUGAAAGAAAACUCCUAUUUUCUUUUACAUGGGUGAUCUCUUCUUCUUCUUCUUCUUCUUGAGAAUUAAGAUGUCAAAAACACGUGAUUCCCUGUAC